CCUACGGGAGGCAGCAGUAGGGAAUAUUGCUCAAUGGGGGAAACCCUGAAGCAGCAACGCCGCGUGGAGGAUGAAGGUUUUCGGAUUGUAAACUCCUUUUGUUAGAGAAGAUAAUGACGGUAUCUAACGAAUCAGCACCGGCUAACUCCGUGCCAGCAGCCGCGGUAAUACGGAGGGUGCAAGCGUUACUCGGAAUCACUGGGCGUAAAGAGCGCGUAGGCGGGAUAGCAAGUCAGAUGUGAAAUCCUAUGGCUUAACCAUAGAACUGCAGUUGAAACUGUUAUUCUAGAGUAUGGGAGAGGUAGGUGGAAUUCUUGGUGUAGGGGUGAAAUGCGUAGAGAUCAAGAGGAAUACUCAUUGCGAAGGCGACCUGCUAGAACAUAACUGACGCUGAUGCGCGAAAGCGUGGGGAGCAAACAGGAUUAGAUACCCGGGUAGUC
rnacentral:rRNA from 1 species